GACGAACGCUGGCGGCGUGCCUAACACAUGCAAGUCGAACGGAAAGGCCCGGCGCUUGCGGGGUUCUCGAUUGGCGAACGGGUGAGUAACACGUGAGUAACCCGUCCCUGUCUUUGGGAUAACUUCUGGGAACUGGGGCUAUUACCCGAUAGGAUCUUUUGCACCGCGUGGUGGGAUGGUAAAUUUCGGUGGUAGGGGAUGGUCUCGCGGGUUAUCCGCUACUUAGUGUGGUAGUGACUUUCCAAGCUUUCGAAGGGUAGCCGGCCUGAGAGGGUGGCCGGGCACCUUGGGACUGAGGUACGGCCCAGACUGCUACGGGAGGCAGCAGUGGGAAAUAUUGCACAACGGGCGGAAGCCAGUUGCAGCAACGCCCGGUGCGGAAUAACGGGCUUCGGGUUGUAAACCGCUUUCGACGGUGACGAAGCGUGCGUGACGGUAAUGGGUAAAGAAGCACCGGCUAACUACGUG
rnacentral:rRNA from 1 species